GACGAACGCUGGCGGCGUGCCUAACACAUGCAAGUCGAACGAGAAUCAGCGGAUUGAGACUUCGGUUGAAUGAAGUUGAGGAAAGUGGCGAACGGGUGAGUAACGCGUGAGAAACCUGCCUUUCAGUGGGGGACAACAGUUGGAAACGACUGCUAAUACCGCAUAAUGUAUCGAUGGGGCAUCCUGUUGAUACCAAAGCUUAAUGUGCUGAAAGAUGGUCUCGCGUCUGAUUAGCUAGAUGGCGGGGUAACGGCCCACCAUGGCGACGAUCAGUAGCCGGUCUGAGAGGAUGAACGGCCACAUUGGGACUGAGAUACGGCCCAGACUCCUACGGGAGGCAGCAGUGGGGAAUAUUGGGCAAUGGGGGAAACCCUGACCCAGCAACGCCGCGUGAAGGAAGAAGGCCUCGGUUGUAACUUACUUUAGUCAGGACGAAGAACGUAGACGGUACCGUAGCAGAAAAGACAACGGACGUAACUACGUAG
rnacentral:rRNA from 1 species